rnacentral:rRNA from 1 species
GACGAACGCUGGCGGCGUGCUUAACACAUGCAAGUCGAACGGAAAGGCCCUGCUUUUGUGGGGUGCUCGAGUGGCGAACGGGUGAGUAACACGUGAGUAACCUGCCCUUGACUUUGGGAUAACUUCAGGAAACUGGGGCUAAUACCGGAUAGGAGCUCCUGCUGCAUGGUGGGGGUUGGAAAGUUUCGGCGGUUGGGGAUGGACUCGCGGCUUAUCAGCUUGUUGGUGGGGUAGUGGCUUACCAAGGCUUUGACGGGUAGCCGGCCUGAGAGGGUGACCGGCCACAUUGGGACUGAGAUACGGCCCAGACUCCUACGGGAGGCAGCAGUGGGGAAUAUUGCACAAUGGGCGGAAGCCUGAUACAGCAACGCCGCGUGCGGGAUGACGGCCUUCGGGUUGUAAACCGCUUUCGCCUGUGAUGAAGCGUGAGUGACGGUAAUGGGUAAAGAAGCACCGGCUAACUACGUG